rnacentral:rRNA from 1 species
CGCGGCCUAUCAGCUUGUUGGUGAGGUAAUGGCUCACCAAGGCUUCGACGGGUAGCCGGCCUGAGAGGGCGACCGGCCACACUGGGACUGAGACACGGUCCAGACUCCUACGGGAGGCAGCAGCGGGGAAUCUUGCGCAAUGGGCGAAAGCCUGACGCAGCGACGCCGCGUGGGGGAUGAAGGCCUUCGGGUUGUAAACCCCUUUCAGGAGGGAAGAAAAUGACGGUACCUCCAGAAGAAGCCCCGGCCAACUACGUGCCAGCAGCCGCGGUAAUACGUAGGGGACGAGCGUUGUCCGGAUUUAUUGGGCGUAAAGGGCUCGUAGGCGGCUUGACAAGUCGGCCGUGAAAACCCAGGGCUCAACCCUGGGAGGCCGGUCGAUACUGUCAUGGCUAGGGUCCGGUAGAGGGGAAUGGAAUUCCCGGUGUAGCGGUGAAAUGCGCAGAUAUCGGGAGGAACACCAGUAGCGAAGGCGGUUCCCUGGGCCGGCACCGACGCUGAGGAGCGAAAGCGUGGGGAGCAAACAGGAUUAGAUACCCUGGUAGUCCACGCCGUAAACGUUGGGUACUAGGCGUGGCGUCUUAUCAACGGAUGCCGUGCUCGAAGCUAACGCGUUAAGUACCCCGCCUGGGGAGUACGG